ensembl:lncRNA
GGUGGUCCCGUGGUUAAUAAUCUGACUUGCCAAUGCAGGGGACGUGGGUUGGAACCCUAGGAAUCUGGGAAGAUUCCACACGCCACAGGGCUGCUGAGCCCCUGCUCAAAGACCACUGAGCCUGCAUGCCAAGAGCCUGUGCUCUGCAUCGAGAAGCCACCACGACGAGAAGCCCGAGCAUUGCGACUAGAAGGAACCUGAUCAUCAAAAAAACAAGAGAGUUCCAGAAAAACAUCUAUUUCUGCUUUAUUGACUAUGCCAAAGCCUUUGUGUGGAUCACAAUAAACUGUGGAAAAUUCUGAAAG